CAGAUGCAGAGAUGCAGGGACACAGAUACCCAGGGGAAAAGACCAUAAUAAAGACAACAGCAGAGACUGGAGUGAUCCAUCUAUAAACCAAGGAACACCAAGGAUUGCCAGCAAACCACCAGAAGGCUGGCCUUAGUGACUCAACGGAAUCAACAGAAUACAGCAGAAGUGACGCUAUGUGACUUCAAAAGCUGGAUCAUAAAAGAUGCUGUUGCUUCUUCUUUGCUCACUGGAGCACUCAUGUUUGGAGCCAUGAGCCACCAUAUAAGAAGGACCACUCCGAUGCCACCAUGCUGCAAGGAAGCCCAAUCCACCAGAGAAACCAUGGUAUGCGGGCCUCUCACUGCUGUGGCCUCUCCCGUUGCAGAGCACAGGCUCCAGACGUGCAGGCUCAGCGGCCAUGGCUCACGGGCCUAGCCGCUCUGCGGCAUGUGGGAUCCUCCCAGACCGGGGCACGAACCCGUGUCCCCUGUAUUGGCAGGCGGACUCUCAACCACUGCGCCACCAGGUUUCUCCAGGAUAUAAAGAAACCAGCUUGCACCAAUUCAUGAGAGCUAAUUGUGUGCACCUUUUCCCAGCUUCAAGGGGAUGUUAACACUGGUAGCUCAAAAAUAAGUAACAGUAGGAAUGCUUACCCAUGGAAAUUGGCAAAUGCUACAAAUCUAUGAAUCAGCUUUGUUACUUUUUUUAUUUAUCUGCACACUGCUGUUUGUCUUCUUCUACAAUCCCCCAAAUGCCAUUUCUCAGCAUUUCUCAGAUGCUACUGUAAACACACUAACUUUUUAUCCUUCUUUUCAUUCUCAGAAAUUCAAACAUCACCAACGUAUUGAGAAUUCUCACAUAUGCCACCAGCCCAACACUCGCUCCAUAAAUCUACCCAAAUUCUCCUUGUUUCUCUCCAUUUAAAUUUUCUCAUGUACACGUCAAACUUAAUAUUUCCGAAAUUGAGCUCAUGUUGUUUCUUCCAAAAGAUGGGUGCCUUCUGCCAUUUUUCAGUAAGUGACUCAGUUGCUCAAACAAGAAAAUUGGGUAUUAUCCUCGACUCUUCGACCUUCCUUCAUUGCAAGUGUAUUCUACCACCUAAGUAUUUCUCAAAUUCACAAACUUCUUUUCUUUUGUUGUUCUAUAGCCAUAAGCUAUAAUUUACGUUACUUCAACAGCCUUCCAAAUUGUUUCUUUGCAUCCAGAAUUGUUCCAGCUCAAUCCAUUAUCAUCACUACAACAAUAAUAUUUUUAAAAAACAAAUUUAAAAAUCAUGUUACUCUCCUACUUAAAACCCUAAGUGUUUCUGAUAAAGUCCGAAACCUUUUCACAGUUCAUUAAAUAUUUUCUAAUCCGGCUCCUGAUGACCUGCCCAGGUUCACCUCUCUCUUUUCUAGUUUGCUGUCUGCUACAACCAUUUCGAAGGCUUUCAGUCUCCCACCUUUGUCACGCAUUUGCUUUUCCACCUCCCGAAGUCCUCUACUUCCUCCUGUGUCAUCAGUUGUUGCCUCUAAUUUUUAAUUCAGUAACUGUUUUUCUUUCUACACCUUUAAUUUUGCAUCCUGUACAGUCAUCCCUCGGUAUCAGAGGAUUGGUUCCAGGAUCCCCUGCAGAUACCAAAAUCCCUGGACAUUCAAGACCCUUCUAUAAAAUGGCAUAGUAUUUGCAUGUUUUAUAACUUUACUUUCAAAGAAUUACAUUAUCAUACAGUAUGCCUCCCUUAUAAAUGGAGAAACUGUGUAUCAGUCUAUCAUCAAAUGUAAGUGUUUUUAAUGUAACAAUGUUUUAAUACUAUAUUAUGAAUAUGAUUGUAAUACUAUGUGCCAUAAAAAUUGUAUAAAGAUUCAUUACUUUAUAGGUGGCUACCAUGAAGCAAUCUUAUAGAUUGCACUAGGCUACCACCAGAAAGCAAUCGUACUGCAGCUUCUUUAA